GCUGUUAAGGGUUCGUAGUUGAAUUGUGGGUUUGUCGGAUGUUGAUCCUGCCCUCUUCGCACGAAGCAGGGCACUCACGCCGCAAUCCCGUGAACAUCAGAAACAAGUACCACGGGAACGCUUUCCUCGGUUCGCGGACAAUGCCCGCAGAGGAACGCCCGUGUUCAUUACUGUGACUAAAAAGUGCGACCAAAGCAGUCCAACGACAUGAAUUAGAAAGCAUGGGAUAACAAAGGGCAGCCUAUUGGCUACCGUUUCGGCUUUUGUUGGUAGUGAAAGUCUAUAGGAGACUAUGACGGCGACGACCGGUGAGGGAUUCGUCUCGACGCUUCCUGUGGUUUCGGCCCCAGGCUUCGCCGUUCGGAAUGAAGGAGGGUUGGCUCGGGGGAAAACGUACUUGAGUGUGAGAGGUGAAUUCUUAGACCACUCAAAGACGAACUACAGCGAAGGCAUUUUCCAAGGAUACCUUCCUCAUCAAGAACUAAAGUGUGGAGAUCGAAGAUGAUUAGAGACCAUUGUAGUCC
rnacentral:rRNA from 1 species